rnacentral:rRNA from 1 species
CAAGUCGAGCGGACAGAUGGGAGCUUGCUCCCUGAUGUUAGCGGCGGACGGGUGAGUAACACGUGGGUAACCUGCCUGUAAGACUGGGAUAACUCCGGGAAACCGGGGCUAAUACCGGAUGCUUGAUUGAACCGCAUGGUUCAAUUAUAAAAGGUGGCUUUUAGCUACCACUUACAGAUGGACCCGCGGCGCAUUAGCUAGUUGGUGAGGUAACGGCUCACCAAGGCAACGAUGCGUAGCCGACCUGAGAGGGUGAUCGGCCACACUGGGACUGAGACACGGCCCAGACUCCUACGGGAGGCAGCAGUAGGGAAUCUUCCGCAAUGGACGAAAGUCUGACGGAGCAACGCCGCGUGAGUGAUGAAGGUUUUCGGAUCGUAAAACUCUGUUGUUAGGGAAGAACAAGUACCGUUCGAAUAGGGCGGUACCUUGACGGUACCUAACCAGAAAGCCACGGCUAACUACGUGCCAGCAGCCGCGGUAAUACGUAGGUGGCAAGCGUUGUCCGGAAUUAUUGGGCGUAAAGCGCGCGCAGGCGGUUUCUUAAGUCUGAUGUGAAAGCCCCCGGCUCAACCGGGGAGGGUCAUUGGAAACUGGGGAACUUGAGUGCAGAAGAGGAGAGU